rnacentral:rRNA from 1 species
UACGGAGGGGGCUAGCGUUGUUCGGAAUUACUGGGCGUAAAGAGCUCGUAGGCGGUUUGUCGCGUCUGCUGUGAAAUCCCGAGGCUCAACCUCGGGUCUGCAGUGGGUACGGGCAGACUGGAGUGCGGUAGGGGAGAAUGGAAUUCCCGGUGUAGCGGUGAAAUGCGCAGAUAUCGGGAGGAACACCGGUGGCGAAGGCGGUUCUCUGGGCCUUACCUGACGCUGAGGAGCGAAAGCGUGGGGAGCGAACAGG